UCCGUGGGAACGGAGGCCCAGGGAGGAUCAGACACUCCCAGACAUAUCUGUUGGAGAUCCUGAAGCUGAGGAUCCCAUGAGUUCCACACAGAAGCACCAGCCCCUCCAGGUUGCUCAAUCCCAGAAGGCUUAGGUGGUUCGUGCCCACAGAUGGUGGACCAGGAGGUCCUGGCACCUCCACAUAAACAGUGGUUUAACAGCUACCCUCCGAUGAAGAUAACUCUGAGAGGACUCUGGUGCACAAUAAGAAGGUGCAGCCAUGCAGGGGAGCGCAAAGACCGAGGGCGGCCACAAGAAAAGUGUAGGAAGCAUUUUACCUGUUGUUGGAGGAGGUCAUCAAGAAGACGCGACUGCCAGUUGACCUGCAAGCUGAACCUGGACAAUCGGAGGCUCUCCACCCCUCCCGUGUCCUUGGAAGGUGCAUUCUGCUUGCCUUCCCCGCUCCCAGAAGCUGCUCCAAGGGCACAGCCUUAAGAUAGAAAUGUGGUGUUGAGCCUGUCUGCACUGGGUACCUGACUGAUCCAGUUAAAGCUCCUACAUAAACUUUUAAGAUUCUGGUGGGUGGGUGCAGAGAUCUACUCGUCUUGCAGCCUUUCAAGAUAAGCUUCCUGAUACCUAGUUGUCUAUCCUGGUUGUAAGUCCUUCCGGUUCUUCUAUGUGGGAUGCUGCCACAGCCUGGCUUGGUGAGUGAUGUGUACAUCUGUGCCCAGGAUCUGAACCAGUGAACCCCAGGCUGCUGAAACAGAGCGUGAGACUUAACCACUCAGCCAGGGGGCUGGCCCCCUAAACUUUCUUUAAGGUAUGUUCAUAUGAAAUUCUUAAAAAUCUGGUAUCUCCUGGUAUCAUGUUAUCAAUCAUAAUUUUAAAAUGUAUGUCACAGAAAUAACCAAGUUCCCUGGUC
rnacentral:lncRNA from 1 species